rnacentral:tRNA from 1 species
AUUUAAAUAGCUUAUAAAUUAGAGCAUAAUAUUGAAGAUAUUAAGGAGAUUAAAAAAAUCUUUAAAUA